UGAAUGCCUCGUACAGGCUAUUUUCAGGAGAACCGAAAUUUCUUCCUAGACUUCUAUAGCUUGUUUUUUUCAAGCCUUUUCCCACUUUGUGCUAGUUUACACUCUCCAGAGCUACACAAGAUAUCUGUAAUGACGGCAGGUCUAAGUUUAUCGCAGGCAGCACUUAAGUGUCUGGAAUUUUUGGAGUGGAGUUCUAAGGUUCUGUCAUUUGUUUGAUUGCCUUCGUCACUGUAGCCUACCGUCACUGAAACAAAGCGUGUGCGGUCACUAUGGCAAGAGACAACAAAUAUAACAGAGAGUGGGGUGAGGAGCGACUACGGGUGGGGUUGGGUUUGUCAUGGGCGUUUGAAGUAUGAAAACCUUAAGAUUUGAUAUUGAUUAACGCAGCAGACAGCAAUCAACGUAAACUUCCUAGUUGGAUCACUUACCAGACGACCCAGAAUUCCUGGAAUCUUUCCGGAUGCUUUUUGCUGCAUGAGAGCCUCCAACACUUGUCCUCUGUUGCAGAGAAGAAGAAAUACCUCAAUCAUACAGUAAACAUCCUUAACCAUGAAUCCCCUUCCUUAACAAGAACUCCAGUGGGUCAGAUCUAAUGGAAUCAGUGCAAAGAUCCAAGAAAACAAUGUUUCAUGUUCACAGAGAGGGAGCUAGACUGCUGCUACAGGUUCUAACAGUGGGUUCUAUAAGAAAAGAGCAGCAUACAUGUGCAAAGGCACAAUCCCAAGUGUAGUGCAGUUGACUCUUUAAACAAACAGAAGACGUUGUGUUUAUGAGUAAAGAGAAUAAUGAGGCUGGUUUAAGAGACGAAAGAUCUAUUAUAUAGGUGGACUAAGAUUGUUGAACCACUUGAUAACAAAAAGAAACUAUUUCAAUGGAACUCUUGUCUUAAAUGGCCAUUGCAAAUGAGAGCUGGUGUGAUAUUAUAAUUAACCCUAUUGCCAGUGUACUCAUUACUAUGAUAUUAUAAUUAUUGCUAUUAUAGUUUAAUUGUAACCAUUACAAUUCUCUCAAAUGUGAUUAGUGCAUUAGCUGCUUUAUUUUUCACUAAUUAUUCUGUACAGUUGAAAUCAGACAGUGUAAUCAGAUGGUUGGCUGUAAUUAAACUGUAAUUGGACAGUUGAAGCAGUCAAUCACAGAAUUAAUCACAAUAACCAUAGCAACAACCAUUUAUCCUAAAACAAAACUGAGGAACUUCCAAAUGGAGAUACUUUUUUUAACUUUAGAUAAUGUCUCUACCGGAUAUAUUUGACCCAAAUGCAUUUAUUCUUUCAGAAAUUUAUGGUUAUGAUUAAUUGGUAACAGGAAUUCUUGUUGUUCAAUUCUGUCCAUAAUCAUACUUGUGAUUGACAAAUUGGACUCCCCCUUGGGCUCAUUUGAAUUUGUUAUUACUCCUAUGAUUACAGACUGAAUGGACCCCACUUGGUCCAUUACUUAUCAUUAUUAUAUACUCAACAAAAUAUCGCAUUUCUGAUUGGUCAAUGAUGAAUGCAUAAAUAGGUUAUAGAGUGCAAUAGAGGUUAUAGAGUGCAAUAUGGAGAAGUUGCCAUGGAAACACCAGGGAAGCGCCAAAUUUGAACACCAAAUUAUAAAAAA